rnacentral:misc_RNA from 1 species
CGGUCGUAACAAGGUUUCCGUAGGUGAACCUGCGGAAGGAUCACUAGUGAAUACAUCGGGGAGCGUCUUAACUGACCUCCCCCAACCCUUCACAAUCCACAUACACCUGUGCACUGUUUUGGCUUUUGAGCAAUCGAAAGCCAAUCAUUUUAUACAAACCCCUAGUUUAAUGAAUGUAACCGUUUUAUAUAAACAAAAUAAAA